GCGCUGAAUCCUAUCGCCCUAGCGGGCGGCCAGGAAAUGUAGCGUUCGGGAGGAGAAUAAAAUUUUCGCGCGGCUUCUAGGCGGCCAGUCCAAGUUCAUCUUGAAAGGGGCCCCGCUUAUCCGUAGAGGGUGCCAGGCCCGUAGUGACGGUCGCCGGCCGCGACGGUCUCUCUCCCCAGAGUCGGGUUGCUUGAGAGUGCAGCCCUAAGCGGGUGGUAAACUCCAUCUAAGGCUAAAUACGACCACGAGACCGAUAGCGAACAAGUACCGUAAGGGAAAGUUGA
rnacentral:rRNA from 1 species